rnacentral:rRNA from 1 species
CCUACGGGGGGCAGCAGUGGGGAAUAUUGGACAAUGGGGGGAACCCUGAUCCAGCCAUGCCGCGUGUGUGAAGAAGGCCCUCGGGUUGUAAAGCACUUUCAGUGAGGAAGAACGCCUGGUGGUUAAUACCCAUCAGGAAAGACAUCACUCACAGAAGAAGCACCGGCUAACUCCGUGCCAGCAGCCGCGGUAAUACGGAGGGUGCGAGCGUUAAUCGGAAUUACUGGGCGUAAAGCGCGCGUAGGUGGCUUGAUAAGCCGGUUGUGAAAGCCCCGGGCUCAACCUGGGAACGGCAUCCGGACCUGUCAAGCUAGAGUGCAGGAGAGGAAGGUAGAAUUCCCGGUGUAGCGGUGAAAUGCGUAGAGAUCGGGAGGAAUACCAGUGGCGAAGGCGGCCUUCUGGACUGACACUGACACUGAGGUGCGAAAGCGUGGGUAGCAAACAGGAUUAGAUACCCGAGUAGUC